UAAAGCUACUAAGGGCGUACGGUGGAUGCCUUGGUACAUGGAGGCGAUGAAGGACGUGAUAAGCUGCGAUAAGCCUCGGGGAGGUGCAAACAACCUCAGAUCCGGGGAUUUCCGAAUGGGGCAACCUGUCUCGGGUUAUGCCGGGACACUCCCAGUUGAACACAUAGACUGGGUUGAGCUAACGGGGCGAAUUGACACAUCUAAGUAACCCUAGGAAAAGAAAACAAUCGUGAUUUCCUCAGUAGCGGCGAGCGAACAGGAAAGAGCCAAAACUUCGAUCAUGUUAAAGUCCGUAGACGUUGUGAUUGGAGUGUUGUGAGGCAGUUCCGGAGUCUGUUACGGAAGACUCGGGGAGUCAAAAAACCUGAUGUUAGUUGAACGGCAUGGAAAGGCCGGCCAUAGAAGGUGAUAGUCCUGUAAACAAAAACUGAUGGUCUCCCUGGGAACUGUUCUCGAGUAGCACGGUACACGUGAAAUUCCGUGUGAAGCUGCCAGGACCAUCUGGCAAGGCUAAAUACUCCCAUGUAACCGAUAGUGAACUAGUACCGUGAGGGAAAGGUGAAAAGUACUCCUAACGGAGAGUGAAAUAGAACCUGAAACCGUAUGCUGACGGCGUGCCUUUUGCAUAAUGAGCCAGCGAGUUGCUCGUAUGUUGCAAGGUUAAUCCCUUUAUGGGAGGAGCCGCAGCGAAAGCGAGUCUUAAUAGGGCAAUUCAGUAACAUGCGGCAGACCCGAAGCCGAGUGAUCUAUCCAUGGCCAGGUUGAAGCGACAGUAACAUGUCGUGGAGGACCGAACCCACCAGGGUUGAAAACCUGGGGGAUGAGCUGUGGAUAGGGGUGAAAGGCCAAUCAAACUCGGCGAUUUCUGGUUCUCCCCGAAAUGCCUUUAGGGGCAGCGUCGUGGAAGUGCCUCGGGGGUAGAGCACUGGAUGGACUAGGGGCCCUACAAGGUUACCAAACCCAACCAAACUCCGAAUACCGAGGUUACGAUCCCCGGCAGUGAGGCCACGGGGGAUAAGCUUCGUGGCCGAGAGGGAAACAACCCAGACCAACAGCUAAGGUCCCAAAAUCUGAGUUAAGUGACUAAGGAUGUAAGAUUGCACAGACAGCUAGGAGGUUGGCUUAGAAGCAGCCAUCCUUUAAAGAAAGCGUAAUAGCUCACUAGUUAAGGAAUCUUGCGCCGAUAAUCUCCGGGACUUUUAAACUUAGUACCGAAGCUCUGGUCCCGGCACGUUUGUGUCGGGAGGUAGGGGAGCGUUCCAUCAACCUGUGAAGUCCUAGACGGGAGUCAGGAUGGAGGAAAUGGAAGUGAGUAUGCUGGCAUGAGUAGCGAUAAUUCCAGUGAAAUUCUGGGACACCAAAAGCCUAAGGUUUCCUGAGUAAAGUAACUCUGCUCAGGGUUAGUCGGUCCCUAAGCCGAGGCCGAAAGGCGUAGGCGAUGGAUAACAGGUGAAUAUUCCUGUACCACCCAAUCAUCGUUUGAACGAUGGGGGGACGCAGAAGUGAAAGAUCAGCCCGGUUUUGAUUGUCCGGGUUUAAGUGUGUAGGGAGUUCUGGCAGGCAAAUCCACCGGAACCAUCCUGAGACACGAAUAGGAGGGCCUAGCCCACAAACUGAUCCUAAUCAUGCUGCCAAGAAAAUCCUCUAAGUGAGAUUUUUGGGUGACCGUACCGUAAACGGACACACGUAGGCGAGAAGAGUAUUCUAAGGUGCUUGGGUUAAUCGUGGUAAAGGAACUCGGCAAAUUGGCCCCGUAACUUCGGGAGAAGGGGCGCCUCAAGUAGGUAAAGGCCCUCGCGGCCGGAGCCCAAAGAGGUCGCAGAAACCAGAGUUGAGCGACUGUUUACCAAAAACACAGGUCUCUGCUAAGUCGCAAGACGAAAUAUAGGGACUGACACCUGCCCGGUGCCGGAAGGUUAAGUAGAGGGGUUAUCCCCCGACUUGUCGGGAGAGAAGCUCUGAAAUGAAGCCCCGGUGAACGGCGGCCGUAACUAUAACGGUCCUAAGGUAGCGAAAUUCCUUGUCGGGUAAGUUCCGACCCGCACGAAUGGUGUAACGACUUGACUACUGUCUCUACCACGAGCCCAGCGAAAUUGUAGCGUCGGUGAAGAUACCGGCUACCCGCGGCAGGACGGAAAGACCCCGUGAACCUUUACUACAUCCUGACAUUGGGUUUUGGUUCUGUAUGUGUAGGAUAGGUGGGAGGCUUUGAAGCUCGGACGCUAGUUCGGGUGGAGCCAACCUUGAAAUACCACCCUUAUAUUGCUAGAAUUCUAAUUCCGACCCUUGAAUCAGGGCGGGAAACAGUGUCAGGUGGGUAGUUUGACUGGGGCGGUCUCCUCCUAAAAAGUAACGGAGGAGCCCAAAGGUUCCCUCAGCACGGACGGUAAUCGUGCAAAGAGUGCAAAGGCAUAAGGGAGCUUAACUGCAAGGCCGACAGGCCGAGCAGGUGCGAAAGCAGGGCUUAGUGAUCCGGUGGUCCCGAAUGGAAGGGCCAUCGCUCAACGGAUAAAAGGUACUCCGGGGAUAACAGGCUUAUCGCCUCCGAGAGCUCAUAUCGACGAGGCGGUUUGGCACCUCGAUGUCGGCUCAUCACAUCCUGGGGCUGAAGAAGGUCCCAAGGGUUGGGCUGUUCGCCCAUUAAAGUGGUACGUGAGCUGGGUUCAGAACGUCGUAAGACAGUUCGGUCCCUAUCCGCCGUGGGCGCAGGAAACUUGAGGGAUGCUGUUCCUAGUACGAGAGGACCGGAACGGACGAACCUCUGGUGCACCAGUUGUCUCAUCAGAGGCACUGCUGGGUAGCUACGUUCGGAUGGGAUAAGCGCUGAAAGCAUAUAAGUGCGAAACCCUUCCCAAGAUAAGGUUUCCCUUCCCCUUCGGGGGAGUGAAGGUCCCCUGUAGACGACAGGGUUGAUAGGUCACAGGUGUAAGGUCAGUAAUGGCUUCAGCCGAGUGAUACUAAUUGACCGUCAGGCUUUGCCA
rnacentral:rRNA from 1 species